rnacentral:rRNA from 1 species
UACGAAGGGGGCUAGCGUUGUUCGGAAUUACUGGGCGUAAAGCGCACGUAGGCGGAUACUUAAGUUAGGGGUGAAAUCCCAGGGCUCAACCCUGGAACUGCCUUUAAUACUGGGUAUCUUGAGUUCGAGAGAGGUGAGUGGAAUUCCGAGUGUAGAGGUGAAAUUCGUAGAUAUUCGGAGGAACACCGGUGGCGAAGGCGGUUCUCUGGGCCUGUACUGACGCUGAGGAGCGAAAGCGUGGGGAGCAAACAGG